AGAGUUUGAUCCUGGCUCAGGAUGAACGCUGGCGGUCUGCUUAACACAUGCAAGUCGAACGGAGUAGAAAUACUUAGUGGCGGACGGGUGAGUAACGCGUGAGAAUCUGCCUUCAGGACGGAGACAACAGUUGGAAACGACUGCUAAGCCCCGAUAAACCGAAAGGGAAAAUAUUUAUAGCCUGAAGAUGAGCUCGCGUCUGAUUAGCUAGUUGGUGGGGUAAGAGCCUACCAAGGCGACGAUCAGUAGCUGGUCUGAGAGGACGAUCAGCCACACUGGGACUGAGACACGGCCCAGACUCCUACGGGAGGCAGCAGUGGGGAAUUUUCCGCAAUGGGCGAGAGCCUGACGGAGCAACGCCGCGUGAGGGAGGAAGGCCUGUGGGUUGUAAACCCUCUUUUCUCAGGGGAAGAAG
rnacentral:sRNA from 1 species